AGAAACAAAGACAGUGUCAUUAUGACAGACCACUGCUGAAACCAGCUGUCCACAAGGCCAGUCUGUGUUUACAUAAGAUGAAAUAAUCUGGUUAUCAUCAUUUUCUGCAGAAACCUGAUUCAAUCAGUUAUCUGAGCCAAGAUGGGUUUCUUUAUCAAGAUGAGUCUGCUUCACAUGGUCAGAUUUAGCAGUAAAACACUGAGGRCACACUAUAAAAACACUGCACAGAAUGAAAAUAGAAAAAAAAGAGAGAACAGAAAUAAAAACUGUUUGACUAUAAAAUAAUGUUUGAUAAAAUAAAGACUUGCAGUUUAAUUUCAUCUCUUUGUUACUGAGAUAUGCCAUUGAAGGAUAUAAAAGGGAUUUGUGUAAAUAAAAUUCACAGCAAAAUAAACUUUUGAUCCUUUGCUUAUAAAACUUUCCAGCUUUUUCUCCCUUACAGACAGGAGGGAGAAGUUGAGACUCAGAGCAGAGCUGCUGCUUCUCCACAUCCAGAGGAACGAGCUGAGAUGGUUCAGGCUAAGGAUGCCACCUGGAUUACUCCCUAAGGAGGAUUUCCAGGCAUGUCCUACUGGGAGGAGAACCCGGGGAAGACUCGGGACACACUGGAGAGAUUAUACCUCUCAGCUGGUCUGGAACACCUUGGGAGUCCUGGAAAAGAUGGCUGUGGAAUGAAACUCGCUGCUGAAGCUGCUGCCUGGAACAAGCAGCAGAUACUGGAUGGAUAGAUAUCGAUUUGAAAUUUUGCCAUGGAUUGUAACUAAACCACCCAGAAACAAGAAGCUUCCAUCACUGGAAACAAAGCAUAAAACAAUAUCUGUCCCAGUUUCUGUUGGAGGACUUGUGUACCGUCAUCGUCAGCGGCAAAAUACAACCCAUCAGGACCAAGGUCGAAGCAAGAAUGUCCCAAACUCAGCAGCAACACAAGAAACAAGGAGUGUCUCUGAAUUAUCAACACACCAACAGCUGCUGGUGACCUCUGAUGUGUUGGUGUGUUUUUAAAGUAAGAAAUAAACAAUAAUAUGUCUCUGACAAUAUUUAUUUAAAAUGUCACUGGAUUUUAUACUCAGACAUCUGAUUGAAGAUUUUUGUUUUGGAUGUAAAAAUCAGAAGGACGGCCUGGAAAACAAAGUAAAAUCUGUUUUUUUUUUUUGCUCUGGUGCAUUUUUAUUUUAGAUUCCUGCAUACAACCUGAAGCAAACACAACUAAUAUCUAAAUAUAACUGAGUAAUGCAUUAUGAGUCAUCUAGUUUCCCAGCUGUUUAUUAUUAAAAGACCCAAUUUGACCAGCCAGAUUAAAAGUCAGAUCAUUUAACUGAUUACAAUGUGUCCUUUUGGGAAUCAGGAACGCUGCAACUAAUUAUUAAAGGGAUCCAUGAUUAGUUGUAACAUUAGACUUUAUUUAAUAAACAUAUAUUUUAACU